CAAACUUUGAGCCCAAGAAGGUUUAUGCUGAACAUAUGCUGUUCAAAUGGUGUGAAAUACUGAGUGAAGCAUGCUCAUCUUUCACUAACUGGAGUAAAGGCUUUUUACUUUGCUGUAUCUCUGCCCCCUGCGCCCUGGAGAAGUCAUGGAGUUCCUUGGCUGCCCUGAAAUCAGCAGCUCCAAAGAGACAACCUCAAAAUAUUCUGAGAAUCUGCCUUGGGGGAAGGAACUCUCCAAUCCUCCUAUUAAGAUACCACCACAGCACCUCAUUUUAGUGAGAGUCAUUGUGGAAAACAGGGCAGUUGUUUUAUAGUCCUGUCUGGAUGGGGAAGCCUUGGAGGAAAACUGUUUCACCAAAGGUCACUCAAGACGUGUAAAAUAUAUUCUGCCUCCAAAAAUAAACAAGAUAGUGCCCAGGAGUGGGACCAGUCACGGUGGAAGAUUUCCCACAAGGGAGAUUUCUGUAGAUCAGCUGGGAAAUCACUGGAUGCCCUCAGGACUGG